CCUGAUGCAGCGACGCCGCGUGAGGGAUGACGGCCUUCGGGUUGUAAACCUCUUUCAGCAGGGAAGAAGCGAAAGUGACGGUACCUGCAGAAGAAGCGCCGGCUAACUACGUGCCAGCAGCCGCGGUAAUACGUAGGGCGCAAGCGUUGUCCGGAAUUAUUGGGCGUAAAGAGCUCGUAGGCGGCUUGUCACGUCGGGUGUGAAAGCCCGGGGCUUAACCCCGGGUCUGCAUCCGAUACGGGCAGGCUAGAGUGUGGUAGGGGAGAUCGGAAUUCCUGGUGUAGCGGUGAAAUGCGCAGAUAUCAGGAGGAACACCGGUGGCGAAGGCGGAUCUCUGGGCCAUUACUGACGCUGAGGAGCGAAAGCGUGGGGAGCGAACAGGAUUAGAUACCCUGGUAGUCCACGCCGUAAACGUUGGGAACUAGGUGUUGGCGACAUUCCACGUCGUCGGUGCCGCAGCUAACGCAUUAAGUUCCCCGCCUGGGGAGUACGGCCGCAAGGCUAAAACUCAAAGGAAUUGACGGGGGCCCGCACAAGCAGCGGAGCAUGUGGCUUAAUUCGACGCAACGCGAAGAACCUUACCAAGGCUUGACAUAUACCGGAAAGCAUUAGAGAUAGUGCCCCCCUUGUGG
rnacentral:rRNA from 1 species